UACCUUUGCCCCCGAUUUAAAAAAAUACAUAAUAAUCAUUUUAAACAAUAUUGGAAUG
rnacentral:ncRNA from 1 species